GAUGAACGCUGGCGGCAUGCCUAACACAUGCAAGUCGAACGAACUCUUCGGAGUUAGUGGCGCACGGGUGCGUAACGCGUGGGAAUCUGCCCUUGGGUACGGAAUAACUCAGAGAAAUUUGUGCUAAUACCGUAUAAUGACUUCGGUCCAAAGAUUUAUCGCCCAAGGAUGAGCCCGCGUAAGAUUAGCUAGUUGGUGGGGUAAAAGCCUACCAAGGCGACGAUCUUUAGCUGGUCUGAGAGGAUGAUCAGCCACACUGGGACUGAGACACGGCCCAGACUCCUACGGGAGGCAGCAGUGGGGAAUAUUGGACAAUGGGCGAAAGCCUGAUCCAGCAAUGCCGCGUGAGUGAUGAAGGCCUUAGGGUUGUAAACCGCUUUUGUCAGGGAAGAAACGCUCUGGGCUAAUACCCUGGGGUAAUGACGGUACCUGAAGAAUAAGCACCGGCUAACUACGUGCCAGCAGCCGCGGUAAU
rnacentral:rRNA from 1 species